CGCUGGUGCGCAGACGGAGGAGGUAAAACCGGUAGUUGGUGACCCUCCCGCCGAGGUCCUUCAAACAGCCGAGCCCGGGGGUGCAAGAUGGCUCCUGGAACAGCUCCUUGUUGCACAGUUGGAUCUUGAGAAACAGAAGAGAAAUGGAAGAGACUGGAGGAGAGUAAAGACGAUGGAUUGCGAAGAAACGUGAAGUAGAAGAAUGCUGGCAUCAGGGAGACGGUCAGAAAGACACAAACACAGAGACCUACGAGGCCCCCCACAACCCACCUUGAUGGGGGAGUAAAACUGUUGAAGGGUGUUUGUCAGUUUGUCAACCAGCGGCUUGCAUCCAGAGCCUGUCAGCGUCCAGUAGGUUGACUGUGUUGUGAAUCGUCGCAUCCGGGUGUGUGGGGCUUGUAUUUCAUCAUCCACCCCUUUCACACCAACAGUUCUACUCAUCGAGUCUCGGACGCCGAACCACAACAUCAGCAACACAGCCAGCGACUCUGUGGACAGACAUCCUGGAGAUGAGAGUUGAUUGAAUCGCCAAGCUGAUAUACUGAACCAACUGACACCCAGGGUAUCUUUGCCGCCGACAGUGAAACACCUGCUGAUCACUGAUGGAAAUUAAUGAAUAGACAGGCAGGUUCUGCUUCAAGGAGAAUAACUGUCAUAUUGAAAAUUCGAAUAUCAAAAGAAGAAAUCGAAAAGACACUAUGAGAAUAAAGGAGCUGUCCAAAUCCCAAUGUCUCAGAAAUGUCACGUGACACCGGCGUCAACGUCAGACCUCGGUCACUCUCCGUCACAGGUACUGCACGCGCUUGGUGACCUCCAGCAGCCCGCGUGACAGGGUCACGGCCGUUUCGUCAGCCACGUCGUUGUUGUCGUAGGCCAGCCCCAUCCCGCUGGGCAGACAGCUGACCGCAGGGUCGGGCCACGUGCAGUCCGAUGACGUCAGAGCGCCGCUGGUCACGCCUGACUGACACUCGUGCUGCAGGUUGACGUACACGUCCUGCAGGGCGUUCACAGUGCUGUUCAGUAGGGGCUUGCUCAGCUUGUUGCCCUUGCCGCUGUUACGCAGGUUGCGCAGGUAGUAACGGUAAUUCACCAACCGUUUCCCGAGGUCGGACAGACACUCAAACCCAGCGACACAAGAUGGCUCGUCGAAAAGAUCCUUUUGGCAAAGCUUGAUCUGGCAAGGAGAAGAAAAAAAAAAGAUGUUGAUGUCAGUGACAAUGAGGAUGACAAUGAGAACGGGGACAAUGAGACUCAAAUCCAGCUGCGACCAGUUACAGUAAAGUUAACGGUAUGUUAUAGAGAUCCUGGAGGAAAACAAACAACAGAGCGGCUUGCUUCCCGCGGAUGGAAGUGUCCAGAAGCUGGGUGUGCUGGUGAAACGCCGCAGCCGGACCAGCAGCCUCUCGAUCCCGUCAUCCUCCUCUUCCGCGCCAAGAUGGCGGGUGUGGGCGGGGCAGCAACAGAACAAGACGAGAAGCAGGGGAACCAACGUGGCUGCUGGAAAGAUAUGGAGUGGAGAUGGUAAGAAAUUGAUUGAUCUUUCUGUUAUACUCUGGUAUUUACAAACAGCUUAAAGAAAACUGAAAAAAUUGCUUUUAAAAAAAAUUAAGUAAAAUAUUGAGCGACAAUUACAAAGCAUGUUAGGAACGAGAGAAGAUGUUAACAGAUAUUGUUAUAAACUUCAGUUAACCAUUUUUUUCACUUCCAGUCCUAGUCUUUAAACAUUGAUCAAAGCUUACUGAUGUCGCAAAAGUUGUUUGCUCAUAAUAUCACAAUUUAUUAUUCCUUUGACUAGCUGCUUGGGAGACCAAGUUCCAGAAACAAUUAAUUUCGUUUAUUAAUAAUUAAUUGUAGUGUUGUAAAGCCUCAAAUCUGAACUAAUAUCACCGAUGUUGGUUUGCCGACGCAUUACCCUUUAUCACCAAGAAUAAAUUCUCAGACUUCAGAUAUACAUUAUAUCGAUGCUAAAUUCUUUCGCAGUAAAUGUAAACAAUAAUAACUUUGCUCUCAGCCCAAACGCUAGUAUUAAGGUGAGAAUCUGAAAUAACUAUCACUGGUCACAGAGAACUGGAUAAAGCUUACCUGAGAUAUUCAUGUUUUAGUGUGAAGACUUCUGAAUUCCUUGCAGAGUUUAGGCCAAGCGUUCGAAGACAGGUGAAGCUGGUCUUGAACCGAAUUCGCUCUGCUUACCUGUCCUCUCUACCUUUUAUUUAUACCCGUCGCGUGGCCAGUUUCGAUAACUGGACAGAAAGGAAUUAUGAAGGGUUUUUAAAAAUCAGAAAAUGGAAAGUUUCGAAAGAAAACCUUUCUGAUGGCAAGGGUGUUAAAAGCUAAGAUUAGAUUCGUUUAUGAUAAAGAAGCGAGUGAGUGGUUACAGGAAGUAAAAGGCUGGGACAAGGUGCGACUUUCCUGGGUCUGGGUGCGUCGUCGUCACAAGCUCAUCUACCUACCCACCGCCAUGACUUCAAAGGCACUGCCGGAUUUCCGCCACCUUCUCCUCAGUUUAGAGAAGCCCCCAGUUCGUUGGUUUGUCUUUUUGGGGAUUUUGUAAUUAGUUGUGAUGAGCGAGCUGGACAAAAAAAUUACGAUUUGCUUUCUCACUGUUACGUUUUGAUUAUUAGAAAGAGGGUCAGAGCGGGCCACUCCAGUGUGCGCGGAGUGCAUGUCAUCACAAGAAAGGAUCAGAAUGAAUGAGCAGGUGUGUGUGUGUGGACGCGCUAAUGUUUAAAAAAAAAUGUUGGGGGUAAAUGUAGGCCUUCAAAAGUUUUUGUACAUCACCAUAGAAUGUUGUUAUAAAUGUAUACCUGUGUGUCUUUUUGCAGAUGACAUUACUUCAAAAUUAGUUUCAUUAAUUUUUAACCAUUCAGACUUAAUACUCCUAAGGUGUAAAAUAAAGUAUAAGCUAUGACCUUUUAUUUCAAAUAAAAUCAAAGAAUUAUGUUGUCAUCAGCGCGUAAACUAAUUAUAACAAGAUUUAAACAACUUUGCCAUCGUAAGCAGUUCGUGUGUAAAAUAUAUUGACAGGUAAGCCCAUCAGCAACCAUAAAAUGUGGAAGCAAAAGUGGAUGACCACCUGGGAAGGAAAAAAAAGCUAGAAGUGAUCACGUGACCUUCGUGUUGUUGUGAAAUGAGGUUAUAGUGCUCUCGCUUAUCUUGUGUCAGUUUUUUUAAUAAUUCUUUUGUGUGAGGACGAUGUCCAUCUUCUCUCCCUCUCCCGACCUUCCUGAUGUUAGCAGGGAAACUGCUUUAGACACCGUUCCUCGCAGAGGGGGACAGUUUUGCUGAGUAACUUUUCCUUCCUCCAUCCGUCUAUCCUUUCCUCAUUACUUUUCACUGCCCACUCUAGUUUACUUUCUCCCUCCUCUCAUUCCUCACCUCUUGUCUUGAGCAACUCACUGGUCACGUGUUAUGUUUUUUGACUAACAUGUUGACCGUAAUCGGGAACUUUCCUGACUGUCGGAAAUGUCUUCCCCUUUCUUGGCGCGAGCUUGGAGUCGAGUUUGGGAAAUGGAAUCCUUGUGGUGGCUUAGACAGGUAGGGGAUAGGGGACAAGGGGCAGGGGAUAGGGAAGUUUGUAGGCGCUAAUACACAAGUGGAAUGUGUAGACACUCUGUCCGUGUUGGGUCUACUAAAGUCCCCUACUCUGUGUUUACUUCGUCUGGAAAACUCUGGAGUGAUUUGUUCCGAAAUUCCGUGUCUUUGGCCUGCCAGGACAGUCCGUGGUUUUACAAGACACUUCAAGAUUUUAUUUGUGCAAUUUUAGAGAUCAGCUGCAAAAAUUAGAAAGUAAAAUUCCAGAGAAUUAAGUGAUUGUAAUGUUAAUAUGAAAUAAAAUAUAUUAUAAUCUGCGUCCAGAAAGACUACCCCAUAACCCAAUCCAACCUUCCCCCCCCCCCGUUUUUUAUUGUUUGUAUUCAGAAACGAAAGAGAGAAAGGAUGCAAACAUACGAAAUUUUAAUUUCCUUUUCCCAGGCAGUGAUGUCUAUCUGAUCUUGAAAUUUUUAAAAGAAUGCAGGCGAAAUAAAUGGUUUAAAAUAUUUCUAAUGAGUUCUUCAGUAACAACUCAGGUGUAACAUCUCUGAUAUUAAAAUAAAACCUAGACUAUGUUGUGUGCAAGAAACGGUAAUGGGUUUUCUCUGCUCCACCACCACCCACGACCCUCUGCCCUCUAACAGUCUUCUUCCACGAUAAACGCCUCAGCAACUUUAGGAAAUCGUUCCCGAAAAAAACAUGAAGUUUUUGUGAGUUGAACUUGAAACCACUGAGUAAGGUGGACGUGAAUGACAACAAUAACUGUAAGACAGCCGCCACUCAGGCCGUCGAGGACCCGGAAGCAGCGACAGUCAAGCAGGACCUCGGCCCCCGAUGUUGCGAGCGAGGGGCAGGGCAGGGACUACAAACACUUUCCCUGGAAAUCUGGGGUCGAGCUCGUGGUGACGACACCCGCAGGUAACAACCGGCAUUACGAGAAACUGUUUCACUGCUAACGAGGGUCACAACACGUCGUGGCCACACCCUGGUGCACACUGACAGCAACACCUGUGUGAUGAGCUGCGCGAUGUUUGUGGUAAAUCUGACUCUGACCUGACCCUCAACCUCACCCUUACACUGACAGUUAUUUCUAUUCGGGAUAAGUUUGUGAUUUCCGAGGGAAGAAGCCAAACACAGAAUGAAAUGUUAUGCCGGGUUAGAAAUGGCCUGAAGCUGACUCAGUCCUAAUUCGUUCUUAAUUCAAAAGUCGAUGAUCCAUCUGGUUUGGUCUUGAGUGGUAAUGUGUUCCAGAUCUUAAUUUGCCCAAGCCCGGAGAUGAAGGCAUCCAAGAUAAUUGUUCCCAGCAAACAUGGCUGCCCCUCCCUCGUGGUUACUGUCAAAACUAACUUUGUGGCCUUUCUACUUCUAAUAGUGUAGCAUAGUUUAUCCGACAUUCCUCCUCCUUUUCCUUUUCUCUCUUCUUCUUUAUUUUAUAUGAUUAUUAUUAUUAUUAUUAUUGAGAUGAUGCUGCACAGGUAUGUACUAAUUCGUAUCAGUUAGUUCUCUCCUCUUCUGUAUCAAAUGAACCUACAAUAAAUAAAUUAAUUAAUCAAUCAAUCUUUCUUGUCUUCCCAGCUCUCUGUCUUCCUUCUUUUUUCUCAUGUAACUUAGUGCCGUCCACUAAAUGCGCCCAUAGUUAGAGUGGUGAUGGAGACCUCACUGUUGUUGUUGCUGUUGUUUGGUGUCUGCAUUGACCUGAAAUACAUCUCUCGUCUCUCUGGACACGUGACUUUGCUCAACCAGCUGCAGGCAUCGACAGCAAGACAAAGAUUUCCGUAACGCCUGCAACCUCGUAUACGACAUGUCCGCCCCCUGCCUUUCUUUGUGGUUCAGAAUUAUUGUCGAUUGUAGCUGAUCCUCGUGAAUCAUGUUCACACUGAUAGGGAUCACAAACUUUGGACACACCUUAUAGGGUCUUGAUAACUACAUUAGACAAAAUGAAAAGCUGAUCCACGCACACACACGCGCGCACACAAAGAACUAGAAGAUGAUCACUUUUAUUCUGUUUUAUCUAAGAACAAACGCAUGUAUCUUUCUCUAAUUUUUUUUUUCAUUUCUAAUUUUAUUUCAUUGUUUCACACCAAGGCUUCAAAUGUUUUUGUUUUGCAUGAUGUGCGUCACCGCUAUCACUGCCGAUGUCCGUCACCUCUACAGCGGAGCCCUGCACGUUACCUUUGCUGUAGAGUCCGCUGUACGUCACCACAAACACGCAGUCCGAUGCACAGACUAUAAUGGAGGGCUUCUUUUCUACAACAUGUAUAAGAGGUCUCACCAUCGGUGGAGUAAACAACUGACCUGUAUGGAACUGUUCAGUGCCUGGGCGUGCUUUAAAGCUGCUGUAAGCAACGGUUUGCAGUUUGAAUGCUGGUGGUUCCUGUCUUGUCUCGUCCUGUUUACCUGCCCGCUUCUUGGUUUGUUUCGAUUUUGAUUUGCGGGCCUUCCACUCGUCUCUGUAACCGCGAUCAGGAGAAGGAGACCAAAGAUGACAGCUCCACGGCGGACUGAAAACAAUGACAGAGCCAUGAACCAAGCAGUCAACACCAGGCAACAUUACUGAACCAGCACAACCUUCUCUCUAACAUCUUUCGAGUUCAAACCUACUCUGAAAAAACUAACUACUAAGAUUCUAAGAAACCUCUUCGUCAAUUCUGAGCAUCCAAAACUGAUUUGGAAAGUUUUCCCUAAUAUACGAAAAGAAUUAACAAUCUCUCAACAAAAAAAGUUGUGCGAAACCACUCAACCUAUUUCGCAUAGAAAGACAUGAAAUAUUGACUGUCCAUCCACAACAACAA